UUUGUACUUCACAAGAGUACUG
rnacentral:miRNA from 1 species